AGCAACCACACCCUCCCCAGAAGCGUGUUGCUUCUUUACCUUCGGACUCGUCUUCAGCUCCGUCUCUGGACGUUUUGCAGAAGUCAUUUCUGCAAAGGCGGCAAAGCAAAAUGUCAGUGCAGUCCUGUCUCAGCUGCAAAGCAGAAUGCCAGGACUGUUUUAUUGUAGCUGUCCUGACUCUGUAUUUUCUUGCCGGGGACCCUGGCCCUGACCACCUAAAUGUCCAACUAACUCCUAACACAUGGACCAGGUGCCGAGAGCCAGGGAGCUCCCAGGGACCAGGCAGGAGGUGGCUGCUGGCACGAGGAAGGUCGGUGGGGAGGCAGGAUGACCUGAAUACCAGGGAGUGGACACUGGGGAGCUCUGCCCAGCAUAGGAAGCUGUCUUAAGAAAGGGGGCCAAGGACACCCCCUCCCCAGCACAUACAUUUGGUGGCUUGCAGUUUUCUUUUUUCCUGAGCUCUCCUCUGGCCUGCUGCAUUCCCAUACAAUUAAGAGGAUAGGGAGCCUGGGUUUUGAAGGUCAUGAAAGGCGCUAGGAGUGAGACUCUGAGGCAGAGAAUGAGGAGGAGAGAGCUGGCGCGCAGCUGGAACUCUGAGGCCAGGUGUUGUUGGAGACCUGUGUCAGGACAAGAUGAAUCCAGCUGCCAAUCCCUGGUGAGAUCCUGGUGCAUCGGGUAGUCAGGAAGGAGAACCAUCCCAGUGGGAGGAUGGAAACCCAGAAGACACCUUUAAUUCUUUCCCGGAGACACACCCAGGAAGUGAGAAGAUGACAUUAUUAUUUCUUAAUGUCUGGAUUUCUUUUCUAAUUACAAAGAAACACGUAAAUGACUGUAGGAAACUUGGAAAACAGAAACACACGAAGAUGGAAUAAAAAGCACCCAUGAUCCAAGUUAAGGGCUGUUAACA